UCCGUAGGGUGCAAGCGUUUUCCGGAAUUCUUGGGCGUAAAGAGCUCGUAGGCGGUUUGUCGCGUCUGCUGUGAAAACCCGAGGCUCAACCUCGGGCCUGCAGUGGGUACGGGCAGACUAGAGUGCGGUAGGGGAGAUUGGAAUUCCUGGUGUAGCGGUGGAAUGCGCAGAUAUCAGGAGGAACACCAAUGGCGAAGGCAGAUCUCUGGGCCGUAACUGACGCUGAGGAGCGAAAGCAUGGGGAGCGAACAGG
rnacentral:rRNA from 1 species